CAAAGUUUGAGGAACAGAGGGAGUAUCAUUUCCCAAAACUAAGAGUCUCCAAUAUAAAAAACGUUCAACAAUUUGAUCCUCGAGCUCAACCAAUUUCAUCAAUGGCGUCCAAUGGAUCUCCUUAGGGAAAUGGAGAUACUGAAGCUAGCCUUGAGAAGAUUAAAUGUCAGUUAGCUUCUAAGUCUGAUCGAAAUUUGUUACAAUGCCCUCUUUUUGAGCGAUCUGAAACGUUGCUGCUGCAAAUUCAACUACACCGGAAGCCUCAAAAGAAGUUGAGGCAGCCCUGAGAUUUUGCUUUGGGAUCAAUAUCAAGCAAAUCUUUUGAUGGCCAACAGCAAUUAUGAAGUUGAGAGAGUCUGAAGAGAAGGUCAUGGCUUUAAAUAAAGAAAUAGAUCAACUGAUCAAGCAGCGGGACUCUGCUGUCCAGAAAGUACAUGUAUGGAGAAGUGAGCUCGGAAAGUCUAGAGCACGUAAUGUGGUACUAGAAGCAGCUAUUGUGAGGGCUGAGGAGAAGGUGAGGAAGUCAAAAAGAACCUGAAGCCAGAACAGAAAAGGUUGCUCUUAGAGAAUCAGCAGCCUUGCAAGAGACUUUGAUUUUUGUUAAUGCAUCUUCAGAGAAUCAGAGGUAAUCAAAACCUUCUUUUUACUUGUAUUAAAUCCUACAAACAUCGGCACUUUAACUUAUGCUGCAUAUUGGGGUGUCAUCGUGUCAACUUGUGGCUGGGUGUCUCGUCAAUUCCC